rnacentral:rRNA from 1 species
CAGUAGCCACGGUAAUACAUAGGGUGCGAGCGUUAAUCGGAAUUACUGGGCGUAAAGCGUGCGCAGGCGGCUAUGCAAGACAGAUGUGAAAUCCCCGGGCUCAACCUGGGAACUGCAUUUGUGACUGCAUGGCUAGAGUACGGUAGAGGGGGAUGGAAUUCCGCGUGUAGCAGUGAAAUGCGUAGAUAUGCGGAGGAACACCGAUGGCGAAGGCAAUCCCCUGGACCUGUACUGACGCUCAUGCACGAAAGCGUGGGGAGCAAACAGGAUUAGAUACCCGUGUAGUCCCUGUCUCUUAUAC